UACAGAGGGUGCGAGCGUUAAUCGGAAUUACUGGGCGUAAAGCGCGCGUAGGUGGCAAUGCAAGUCGGGUGUGAAAUCCCCGGGCUCAACCUGGGAACUGCAUUCGAGACUGCGUUGCUUGAGUAUGGGAGAGGGAAGUGGAAUUUCCGGUGUAGCGGUGAAAUACGUAGAGAUUGGGAAGAACACCAGUGGCGAAGGCGGCUAUCUGGACGGUUACUGACG
rnacentral:rRNA from 1 species